AAACAUGUUGCAGGUCCAAACUGCACCGCUUGGGUUACCAGAAAUACACCCUGAAGUUGAGAAAAGUCCUCCAGAUUGUACAUGUUCUCUGUCCAAAUUCUUGCAG